GAUGAACGCUAGCUACAGGCUUAACACAUGCAAGUCGAGGGGAAACGACAUCGAAAGCUUGCUUUUGAUGGGCGUCGACCGGCGCACGGGUGAGUAACGCGUAUCCAACCUGCCCAUCACUUGGGGAUAACCUUGCGAAAGUAAGACUAAUACCCAAUGAUAUCUCUAGAAGACAUCUGAAAGAGAUUAAAGAUUUAUCGGUGAUGGAUGGGGAUGCGUCUGAUUAGCUUGUUGGCGGGGUAACGGCCCACCAAGGCAACGAUCAGUAGGGGUUCUGAGAGGAAGGUCCCCCACAUUGGAACUGAGACACGGUCCAAACUCCUACGGGAGGCAGCAGUGAGGAAUAUUGGUCAAUGGGCGAGAGCCUGAACCAGCCAAGUAGCGUGCAGGAAGACGGCCCUAUGGGUUGUAAACUGCUUUUAUAAGGGAAUAAAGUGAGAGUCGUGACUCUUUUUGUAUGUACCUUAUGAAUAGGACCGGCUAAUUCCGUG
rnacentral:rRNA from 1 species